ACGAGGAAAGGGGUUGCUUUGUGAUGAGUGAUUAGGAAAACAUAUGGGCGAGAACAUAAUAUGCCAACAAAAGAUCAUAUUUCAAAACGCUAUAGGGCUUCUGAGAUCAAGGUGGAAAUUGAAACAGAAAGCGAACAAACAUACGAACCUAUUUUGAACGUUGGAGAUGAAAAUAUCGAAGAAAGCGAGCGUCGUGAACAGUUUAUGAUCGAGGCAUAAGAGGACGAAGACAUUUAUCGCAACUAGACGAUGCAACCGCA